GCAGCAAUCUGAGCUAAACCAACUUUCAGAUGUCCACCAAACGUGUCUUCAUGCAGUGGCUGAGAACAAGUCUUCAUGUGACUCUGCAAGAGUAAAUCAUGACAGUGGAUGGCAAGGCAGCACGCCAUUCUUCACUGUGACAUUACAAUACUGUCACUGAAGUUCUACAAUGAUGAAUUAUAUGAACAAUAUUGAAGUUGAGAACAUCCUGGUAUAGUGUGGUAUAACUUCUGCAUAAUACAGACCACAAGGCUACAAAAAUGGAAGCUGUUUCUGAGAGGUGUGAGAACCACCCCAGGGUGCCUGGAACACAUUGUUUAUGAUGGAUAUUACAUCUUUUGAAAUGCUGUUCUCUAAGCCCAAAGUGACACCAUCAUCCUGGAGUUCCAUCUGAAAGAGCGUGAAAAAGAAAUUAACUCCAUCAGAAAACAUGCUGAUUAGUAACUGAAGAGGAACGACAAUGUCUAGUUCAGAUAACACCUGAGGAAAGACAACAAAUAAAAAAGCAUGAGUUUCAAGCUUGACCAAAAAUGCCAGCUACUUUGUAAGCACCUUUAUCAUAUGAUCCUCAGUUCAACAAGUUCCAUACAUUUCAUUUUGGGAUUCAAUAAGGAAAAACUACAGCUACUUCUGCAGUCAGAAAUUAAUUUUGGAAUCCAAAGACCAAAUUCUGUGGAGACUGAAAAAAAAAACCUCAGACAGCUGAAUGGACCUAAAGAUACAACUGACAUUCAAAGCAGGGGAAGACAUCAGCUAAUUCGAUACAAAUCAUCACUCUUUCAGUGCCAGCUCUACUAAUCCUCACCGUUUCUCAUCAACAGCUGGCCAAGAGGAUAAAAGUGUUUAUUCCACCAUGUUGCAGGAAGCCACUAAAAAUGUGCCUUGCUCGCAGCAAAGAAACAUCCAUGUAGGUGGUUCCUGAUACAGAUUCGAGGAUGUGAGGAGCAAUAAAAGGGAACUUUCCCAAACCUUAA